rnacentral:rRNA from 1 species
GACGAACGCUGGCGGCGUGCCUAAUACAUGCAAGUCGAACGAAGCUGUUUUAACUGGUGCUUACACCGACUUAAACAACUGAGUGGCGAACGGGUGAGUAACACGUGGGUAACCUGCCCCAAAGCGGGGGAUAACAUUUGGAAACAGAUGCUAAUACCGCAUAACCACAGAAACCACAUGGUUUCUGUGUCAAAGAUGGUUUCGGCUAUCACUUUGGGAUGGACCCGCGGCGUAUUAGCUAGUUGGUAAGGUAAUGGCUUACCAAGGCAAUGAUACGGAGCCGAACUGGAGGGUUGAUCGGCCACAUUGGGACUGAGACACGGCCCAAGCUCCUACGGGAGGCAGCAGUAGGGAAUCUUCCACAAUGGACGAAAGUCUGAUGGAGCAACGCCGCGUGAGUGAAGAAGGUUUUCGGAUCGUAAAACUCUGUUGUCAGAGAAGAACGUGUGCGAGAGUAACUGCUCGUGCAGUGACGGUAUCUGGCCAGAAAGCCACGGCUAACUACGUGCCAGCCGCCGCCGUAA